UACGUAGGGUGCGAGCGUUAAUCGGAAUUACUGGGCGUAAAGCGUGCGCAGGCGGUUAUGCAAGCUUGAUGUGAAAGCCCCGGGCUUAACCUGGGAAUGGCAUUGAGGACUGCAUGGCUAGAGUGUGGCAGAGGGGGGUGGAAUUCCACGUGUAGCAGUGAAAUGCGUAGAUAUGUGGAGGAACACCGAUGGCGAAGGCAGCCCCCUGGGCCAACACUGACGCUCAGGCACGAAAGCGUGGGGAGCAAACAGG
rnacentral:rRNA from 1 species